rnacentral:rRNA from 1 species
AACGAACGUUGGCGGCGUGCUUAACACAUGCAAGUCGAGCGCGAAUCCUUGCUUCGGCGAGGUAGUAGAGCGGCGAACGGGUGAGUAACACGUGAGUAACUUGCCUCUAAGUCUGGGAUAACCACCCGAAAGGGUAGCUAAUACUGGAUAAGACCACAAUGUCCUUGGGCAAUGUGAGAAAAGGCUUCGGUCGCUUAGAGAUAGGCUCGCGUCCCAUUAGCUAGUUGGUGAGGUAACGGCUCACCAAGGCUUCGAUGGGUAGGCUGGUUUUAGUAGGAUGAUCAGCCACACUGGAACUGAGACACGGUCCAGACUCCUACGGGAGGCAGCAGUGGGGAAGUCUUGCGCAAUGGGCGGAAAGACCUCGACGCAGCAACGACCGCGUGAGUGAUGAAGG